rnacentral:rRNA from 1 species
AUUGAACGCUGGCGGCAGGCCUAACACAUGCAAGUCGAGCGGAUGAAGGGAGCUUGCUCCUGGAUUCAGCAGCGGACGGGUGAGUAAUGCCUAGGAAUCUGCCUGGUAGUGGGGGAUAACGUCCGGAAACGGGCGCUAAUACCGCAUACGUCCUGAGGGAGAAAGUGGGGGAUCUUCGGACCUCACGCUAUCAGAUGAGCCUAGGUCGGAUUAGCUAGUUGGUGGGGUAAAGGCCUACCAAGGCGACGAUCCGUAACUGGUCUGAGAGGAUGAUCAGUCACACUGGAACUGAGACACGGUCCAGACUCCUACGGGAGGCAGCAGUGGGGAAUAUUGGACAAUGGGCGAAAGCCUGAUCCAGCCAUGCCGCGUGUGUGAAGAAGGUCUUCGGAUUGUAAAGCACUUUAAGUUGGGAGGAAGGGCAGUAAGUUAAUGCCUUGCUGUUUUGACGUUACCAACAGAAUAAGCACCGGCUAACUUCGUG